UAUAUUUACCUACUGUUAGUGUAAGAAUAAUGGUGGCAGUGAGAUUAAAUACAAUAACAAUAUUGUAGCUUGAGACAAAAAAAAUGACUAAACGCACCGACUGAUGUUGAGCUUGGGUGAAACUAAGUGGAGGACCGAACCGAUUGAUGUUGAAGAAUUAGCGGAUGAGUUGUGGUUAGGGGUAAAAUGCCACUCGAACCUAGAGCUAGAUGGUUCUCCCUGAAAUGUGUUGAGGCGCAGCAGUUGACUAGACAUCUAGGGGUAGAGCACUAUUUCGGUGCAAGCCGCGAGAGCGGUACCAAAUCGAGGCAAACUCUAAAUGCUAGAUAUGACCUCAAAAUAACAAGGGUCGAGGUCGACCAGUGAGACGAUGGGGGAUAAGCUUCAUCGUCGAGAGGGAAACAGCCCGGAUCACCAGCUAAGUCCCCUAAAUGACCGCUCAGUGAUAAAGGAGGUAGGGGUAUAGAGACGAUCAGGAGGUUUGCCUAGAAGUAGCCACCCUUGAAAGAGUGCGUAAUAGCUCACUGGUCGAGCGCUCUUGAUCCAAAGAUGAAUAGGGUUAAGCGAUCUGUCGAAGUUGUGGGAUGUAAAAAUGCAUCAGUAGGGAAGCGUUCUGCCUUAGGCGGAAGCACCCGCGUGAGCGAAAGUAGACGAAGCGGAAGCGAGAAUGUCUGCUUGAGUAACGCAAACAUUGGUGAGAAUCCAAUACCCUGAAAACCCGACAAUUCCUCCGUAAGGUUCGUCCAUGGAAAGUGAGUCAAGGCCUAAGAUCAAGCCAAAAGGCAUAGUCAAUGGACAACAGGUGAAUAUUCUUAUACUAUCCCUUGUUGGUCCCGAGGGACGGAGGAGGCUAGGUUAGUCAAAAGAUGGCUAUCGGUUCAAGGAUGUAAGGUGCCCCUGCUUUUUUAGGGUAAGAAGGGGUUGAGAAAAUUCCCCGAGCCAAUGUUUGAGUACCAGGCGCUACGACGCUGAAGUAACCCAUGCUAUACUCCCAGGAAAAGCUCAAACGACCUUCAACAAAAGGGUACCUAUACCCGAAACCCCCACAGGUAGGUAGGUAGAGAAUACCUAGGGGAGCGAGACAACUCUUUCUAAGGAACUCGGCAAAAUAGUCCCGUAACUUCGGGAGAACGGGUGCCUCCUCACAAUGGAGGUCGCAGUGACCAGGCUCGGGCGACUGUUUACCAAAACCUUAGGUCUUUGCAAAGUUGUAAGACCAUGUAUGGGGGUUGACGCUUGCCGAGUGCCGGAAGGUCAAGGAAGUCGGUGACCUGAUGACAAGGGAGCCGGCGAGGAGGCCAACGCCCAUUCAAAGGAGCCCUAAGUCAUGAGUUCAAUCUUUCGACAUCUUGAUAUCCUUACUUGAAAAGAAAAACCAGUUAUAGGUGGUAGGUUGGGAAUCUAAAAAACAACUAUCAUGUUACCUAGGCGGAUCUGGUUAAUCCAAGUAAGAAGU
rnacentral:ncRNA from 1 species